UAAAAAGGAAGUAAAGAACCAGCAAACCUGAUGUGUGGUGAUGGGAAGGUGACUCAGCAGUUAGGGGACUUCCUGCUCCUGGCUCCCAGGACCCACAUGGUGGUGAUGGAGAGGAGGCCACAACUGCCUGUAACUCCAGUCCCAGAGGAUCUGACGUCCUCUUCUGACUUCUAAGGGCACCUGUGAGCAGUUGAGUCCCUCUUGACUUCUGCCAUGCUGCUGUCUCCAGGCUAGAGGUUCUCUUUCCAUCUCCAGUCUUGCCAUAGGAGUGCUGAGUCCAGACAUUGAAACCUAGUGGCCGAUGACAUGGUAUCGUCAGGCGGGACUUCAGGCUCAGUUGGGAAACUGUUUGCCCAGUAUUUACGAAGCGAUAGAUUUUAUCCCCAGCACAUCAAAAACCGAGCGACCUAGAAUGCCAAUACUCAAGAGGUGGAGGCAGGAGCUACAGAAAUCCAGUGUCAUCCUCUGCUGCUUGAGUUGUAUGUAACCCAGGCUGGCUCCCAACCCACAAUGUAGCUCAGGAUGACCUUGAACUUCGGAUAUUUCUUCCUCUAUGAUGGGAUUACAAGUGUACACCACCAUGCCCAACUGUAACAGCUGGCAUUUCUUUAGGUAAGGAUAGGUGACCCAGAAGCCUCUCCCGGUUUUAUAUCCCUUCCUCCCUCCCUCCCUUCCUCUCUCCCUCCCUCCCUCAUGUUUUGGGGCACAGAUGGCUGCAUAAGUCGUAUAUUAUAUUGUUACUUGCAGGGGAAUGUGCCCACACUGUAUGUUUUUUUGAGAUGUCUUUGUUUCA